rnacentral:rRNA from 1 species
UGAGGAACAUGACCUUCGGCGGGGGAUAGCCGGCCCAACGGCCGGGUAAUACCGCGUACGACCACUCGGGGACAUCCCCAGGUGGUGAAAGCAGCAAUGCGUCCGAUGGAGUGCCUCGCGGCCUAUCAGCUAGUUGGUGAGGUAACGGCUCACCAAGGCGACGACGGGUAGCUGGUCUGAGAGGAUGGCCAGCCACAUUGGGACUGAGACACGGCCCAGACUCCUACGGGAGCAG